UGUGCUUAUGUAUGUAUAUGUUCAUAAAUUUGUAAAAUCAUUCUCAGACACACACUAGCACAUAUUUGUGUUUUAAAUACAUAGAUAUGUAUGUAUGUAUAUAUAUUUCCUAUCUAUAUGGAAUGCAUUAAAGCAGCACCACUGAGAGUGUGCCGUAGUUUGAGAACCACUGGUCUAGACAAUGUAUAGGGACAACUGCAAUGAUAAAAAAUCAGUGUCAGAGUGGUUUGAAUUCUGACUGUUAAGAUAGUGUAUGUCUUCAGCUGUCAAAUGAUGUUAAACACUGCCCCAUAGUGGCUGAAGGUGGGAAGUAUCCCAUCCGGAGCAGCACAUACAAAUACAUUGAGAGUUUGUCCCUGUAGAAAGUAUGGUCUAUUCCACGUUUUAACUAGGACAGUGAAGGCGUCACUGUCUAUAUUAAAGUAAAGUAGAAGCUGGAUGUUACCCUCUCGCCCCCCCCCACCCUUGCCCAUGACAAGACAUCCCUGCAGUGGAUGUUUGUGUGUGGAAUAUAAGGGACGCAGAACCUCAAGUUAAACUUGUGAAUGUUCUCACGUGGUCUGUUUUAUGUUACUGUUAUUUAACGCACAUGUUCAGGAAAAAAAAAAAAAGCGUACAAUUUUGUAAAUACUAGUUAGAGAAACAACAAACCUUUAAAACUAUUUGUUUUUUGUUUUUUUUAAAGGCUAGAGCUGAGUUUAGUGAAGGAAGCAUAGUUCUGCUGCAGACUAUCUAUGCACAACUGAGGCGUUUGAACCUGAACUGUUGUCAUCGUCGAUCGAAGGACUUGGCCACAAAUAUUUCUAUUGAACCCAAAAGUACUUUAUAUGUACUUCUAUGUUUUGUCAUUUCAGAAUAUGAAGCAGUAGAAAUAAUAUAUUUCCAUGUUAGUUUUUUCCCUCUUUGAUAAAAUAAUCUCUCCCAUCUUAGUGUCUCUUCGUCACGUAGAACAUUGAAACGAAAGAGUUGGUUCCAUUUAAUGCUUCCACUCAUUAAUACCAUCAGCACUUAAGUUGAAAAAGGGUCAAUAGAUUUUUUUUAAAAGCAUCUACUUGCAUGUCAUUGAUCUGUGUGAACAUUCCUUUUUUAUGACUUUGCACAUGAUGUGUCUUUUGUAAGAUUUUCACCAACUGUGUGGAAGUGAAGUGUCUGUUUGAGUUGACGGAGUUUUUCUAAGUCACUUCUCACAUUGUCCAGGCUGGGGAUCAACAGCUAAUCCUUUAAGAUAAUUUUGGUAUUAACAGUCGAACAGUCCAGUCGUGAUCUUAUCCUUGUUGUGGAACAUUGACCAAAAUGAUAAAGAUUAAAUUCUGUGUUAUUAUGAUUUAGCAGAGGGUACAAUCCUGUUAUACAUUCUAAAUCAUUCAGUGCAAAAUUUGACCAAUUUUGCCACCCUGCUGCAACAUCAGAGAAUUGUGUAUUAAUCCAGGAUUAGGCAAAUCUCUAAUCCCAGGUACUAUCAGGUUUUUUACCUCACAAUAUAAAUCCCCGUCUCACACUUUUGAUCAUGUGACCCCAUUUUACAACUCUGACUACCUGAGUCAGCUCUAGCUUUUAUUUCAAUGCCCCAGGUGAGAUUAUGGUACGGUGCCCUGCAAACCCACUCCACACAAAGCAUUCGUAGAUAGCAGCUCUAUGACGACCUUAAAGGUUCAGUUAUUGAUGAUUGAUUUAAAACAGGAUUUCUUAAAAAAGUGAAAUAACAAAGGAUUUUUCAGGCCAGAUCCUACUGUUUGACAAAUAAAAACAAUACAUUGUUGUGCAAUAUGGUGUAAAAAGAAUACAGAAGAAGAACAGUUGAUAAAAAAAGUAAUUCCCAGAGACUGAAAAUAUGUAUUUAUUUAUUUUUAAAAUAUCUGGGUUUUUUUUUUUCAGAAUACAGAUGAAAGUCUACGGGUUGAGGAUUUAAACAAUUACUUUUUAUUUCUACGUUCAUGCAGCUGAGUUCCCCUCCAACAGGUGGCGCCCUUGACUUUGACAUGACGCGGCUUUUCAUUUGCCAAGCUCAGGCCUUGAAGGCAUCAUGGUAUAAAUAAUCAUAAAUUCAAAUGUAUUCCUUAUUGUGAAACAUCACCUCAUUUAACCUCCAUAAAAUCAAAAUCCUACAAACCUCACUUAGAUGACGCUCAAACGUAAUGUAAACAAACAAAAAGAAAAAAGGGCUUUUUUGCCUUGUUAAUAUUUCUGUCUGAGUGAUGAAGGUCAGAGUACAGGGUCAUCACAGUGCACAACAAGCUGAAUCUGUGAUAAAUAUUUUAUAAGUACAAUAGUUGGACUUGUCCAGUGCAGUCUAUGUCAGGGAGACAGGGCUACUAAGUCAGUGUCUGCUUUAAUUCUAAUUGUUUCUAAAGUGUAAUUGAUCGUUUAAAGAUUUUUAUUUUCUUCUUGGGGCCGUUGUUCCCCUAGAUGCAUGCUGACAUAUUAGCACACACCACUGUAUUGGUGAAAGCAUGAAAGGUGCCAGUCGACAACUUUAGGUCUUUAAUCAACUCCUCUCUAUUUACUGUACCUUGUUAUUCACUUGAAUAAAAUAUUAUUGCCUUUUUAAUGAGUUUUGUGCUUGCAGUUGCAGAUACAAACCGCUAGAGCGUGCUGUCCACCGCUAAAUGUUUAAAAAGGACGGGAAACGUCAGAAAUCACAGUAACAAUACGACUACUGUACUGUGACUCCAGCCAGGAGGAAAGACGAUUUAGCUGCAAGCCAACACCGUGAGGAACUGAAGUCUGUGGGAGCAAACCAGAGGAAUCGAACUGCUGAACUCCUUGCUGUAAGAUACCAAAUAUGGACAUUUCCAUCCAUCAAUCCAUCCAUUUUGGUCCGCUUAUCCGUUACCGUCACACUGUACCAUACCAACCCCCCGAACCUUCCUGCAGGUGGUCCACUGGAAGGUGGAUCCUGCGAUCUGAUUGGUCCUCCAGUGAUGCUGACAGACGCUGUGGGGUGAGUCUCAAAACACUUUCAGUCCAACUCUGAGCAAACAAAAGCAGGAUCAAAUACAUCUUUGAAUCUGGUUUCAAAUGGUGGUGGGGUGGUGAGUGCUCUUGCCUUACAACAAAGAGGUCAUCGGUUUGAUCAGUCAGGAGUUCGCCUAUUCUCCUCUGUGUGUAUUUGGGUUUUCUCCUGCACCAGGCCAUGACAUGCAGCGUUAGGUCAAUAGUUGACGACUAGUGUGAAUGUGAGUGUGAACGGUCGGUCGUCUUUUCCAUGUGAAACCACGCCCCCACCUUCUGGGCCUGUUCACAGCCAUGCUAGCUUUUUUUAGCCGUGGCUUCUCAGCUACCAAGAGAAAUCAAAAGAUGAAGAAGUGACAACUAAACGAAGGAGGAUGAGGACAACGAAGAGAGAAUUAUGAAGAUGAAAUUGGAGAAGCAGAAGAAGAAACGAGAAGUAAAAAUAGAGUAGACAAAAAAGAAGACGGGGAGAAAAUGGAAAAGUUGAAGUGGAAGAAGAAAAAAGAAAAAGAUGACUAACAAAAAGAUGAUGAGAAAGACUGAAAAUAAAAUCUAUUUUCAAGGGAAACAAGACAAAGAAGAAGAAGAAAAGAUAAAGAAAUAUAUACUUUUUUUUAGACGGGAACCACUAAGUGGUACACUUAGUAGCGCCUCCUGUGGCAGCUUUGUUGCUCACAC